rnacentral:rRNA from 1 species
NNNNNNNNNNNNNUUCCCCUAGUAACUGCGAGUGAAGCGGGAAAAGCUCAAAUUUAAAAUCUGGCAGUCUUGGCUGUCCGAGUUGUAGUCUGGAGAAGCGUCUUCCGCGCUGGACCGUGUACAAGUUCCUUGGAAUAGUACGUCAUAGAGGGUGAGAAUCCCGUCUUUGACACGGACUACCAGUGCUUUGUGAUGCGCUCUCAAAGAGUCGAGUUGUUUGGGAAUGCAGCUCAAAAUGGGUGGUAAAUUCCAUCUAAAGCUAAAUAUUGGCAAGAGACCGAUAGCGAACAAGUACCGUGAGGGAAAGAUGAAAAGCACUUUGGAAAGAGAGUUAAACAGUACGUGAAAUUGCUGAAAGGGAAACGCUUGAAGUCAGUCGCGUUGUUCAGAACUCAGCCUGGCUUCUGUCUGGUGUAUUUYCUGUGCGACGGGCCAGCAUCAGUUUUGAUCAUUGGAAAAAGGCCAGGGGAAUGUGGCACCCUCGGGUGUGUUAUAGCCUCUGGUUGCAUACAAUGGUUGGGAUUGAGGAUCUCAGCAUGCCUUUGGUCGGGGUUCGCCCACGUUCAUGCUUAGGAUGCUGGCGUAAUGGCUUUAAACGACCCGUCUUGAAACACGGACCAAGGAGUCUAACAUGCCUGCGAGUGUUUGGGUGGAAAACCCGAGCGCGCAAUGAAAGUGAAAGUUGGGAUCCCUGUCGUGGGGAGCACUGACGCCCGGACUUGACCUUCUGUGACGGAUCCGCGGUAGAGCAUGUAUGUUGGGACCCGAAAGAUGGUGAACUAUGCCUGAAUAGGGUGAAGCCAGAGGAAACUCUGGUGGAGGCUCGUAGCGAUUCUGACGUGCAAAUCGAUCGUCAAAUUUGGGUAUAGGGGCGAAAGACUAAUCGNNNNNNNNNNNNNNNNNNNNNNNNN